GUGAGGAAUUUUCCGCAAUGGGCGAAAGCCUGACGGAGCAAUGCCGCGUGAAGGAUGAAGGCCUAUGGGUUGUAAACUUCUUUUCUCAGAAAAGAAUUAUGACGGUAUCUGAGGAAUAAGCAUCGGCUAACUCUGUGCCAGCAGCCGCGGUAAGACAGAGGAUGCAAGCGUUAUCCGGAAUGAUUGGGCGUAAAGCGUCUGUAGGUUGUUUAAAAAGUAUUCUGUCAAAGAUUAGGGCUUAACCCUAGAUAGGCAGAAUAAACUUUUAAGCUAGAGUUGAGUAGAGGCGGAGGGAAUUCCCGGUGGAGCGGUGAAAUGCGUAGAGAUCGGGAGGAACACCAAAGGCGAAGGCACUCUGCUGGGCCAAUACUAACACUGAGAGACGAAAGCGAGGGGAGCAAAUGGGAUUAGAAACCCUGGUAGUCC
rnacentral:rRNA from 1 species